rnacentral:rRNA from 1 species
AUUGAACGCUGGCGGCAGGCCUAACACAUGCAAGUCGAGCGGUAGAGAGAAGCUUGCUUCUCUUGAGAGCGGCGGACGGGUGAGUAAUGCCUAGGAAUCUGCCUGGUAGUGGGGGAUAACGUUCGGAAACGGACGCUAAUACCGCAUACGUCCUACGGGAGAAAGCAGGGGACCUUCGGGCCUUGCGCUAUCAGAUGAGCCUAGGUCGGAUUAGCUAGUUGGUGAGGUAAUGGCUCACCAAGGCGACGAUCCGUAACUGGUCUGAGAGGAUGAUCAGUCACACUGGAACUGAGACACGGUCCAGACUCCUACGGGAGGCAGCAGUGGGGAAUAUUGGACAAUGGGCGAAAGCCUGAUCCAGCCAUGCCGCGUGUGUGAAGAAGGUCUUCGGAUUGUAAAGCACUUUAAGUUGGGAGGAAGGGCAGUUACCUAAUACGUGAUUGUUUUGACGUUACCGACAGAAUAAGCACCGGCUAACUCUGUGCCAGCAGCCGCGGUAAUACAGAGGGUGCAAGCGUUAAUCGGAAUUACUGGGCGUAAAGCGCGCGUAGGUGGUUUGUUAAGUUGGAUGUGAAAUCCCCGGGCUCAACCUGGGAACUGCAUUCAAAACUGACUGACUAGAGUAUGGUAGAGGGUGGUGGAAUUUCCUGU